ACGGCUAGAAAGCAGUACACGAAUCCAUGCCUGUUUCUCCGCAGCGUUUGCUGUCUGUCGAUCGUGGUGCCCUGUCCUGUGGUCUCGGGGUUUUAAUGGCGCCGAGGCGAGCUGAUGGUAACCGCAGGGACGAGGGUGGCCAGACGUGGGGCGAGCACCACGGCGAGGGUUACCCAUUCCUCUUGUUAUUAACGCGGCGCCUGAUGUUACCGUGCGUCCAUGGACGCCUAUUAACUGCCUCAAAGAAGGCUGAAGCCGCGCUGGUGGUGGAGACAUGCUGCGAAGGAAGGAAGAGUCCUGGCUCCUGAGCGCGACGGCCGGAACGUGACGAGCCAUGGAUUCAGAUCUGGAGUACCAGUGGCUGCAACAGGUUCAUUGCAUCUUGAAUCGUUUGGUUUGAGCUGAAGCCGUGCAUGCGGCCGGCUGAAUGGCGGGAAACGCUUCACGUCGUCGAUAGAUGGAGAUGAAGCGCCGGGAAAUGAUCUAUAUCUAUGCGCGCUGCCAGGCGAAACCGCUGCUGAAAAGACUAGAAAGUUGUGCGUUUCUUUUCAGGCCAUGGAUCUGACGCCUCUCCCGUUGAGAUUGAAUGGAAUAUCGAAUCUGAUUGUAGGGCUUGUUCACGUAAUCUGGAUCAGAGCACCUGAUUUAAGCCAAAUUGAAGCCCAGAUGAAGUGGCCCCAAUAAGGGCUUGUUCGC
rnacentral:lncRNA from 7 species